UUGUGUUGUAAUGGUCUAAUGGAACAUUUGGGUAUGCAUGAGGUGAUGAACCGCAAUGAAAUUGUUGGGAUGGAUUAUGUGAUUUUGGGUGGAAAGUUCCCACUGGAGAACAUUGACUAUGCAUCAUUUGUAGG